GAUCAUUGUCGAAAAUUGCCAAGCAGAGCGACCCGCGGACAUGUUGAAAUAAAUCGUCGGGGGCACGGCGCCUAACGUGGCACGGCGCCCUCGACUGCCGGCCGAGCCCGCACCUUAGGGCCUGCUCCAGGAGCGGCAACGGGGGUGCGGGGCAAGGCUUGGCACAAGAACGAACCCCGGCGGGGAUCGCGCCAAGGAACGGUAACAUAGCGUGCGCUGCCUUGCCGCCGGAUGCCCGGCGAGCGAGGUGGCGACCUGUCGUAUCUGAACGACUCUCGGCAACGGAUAUCUCGGCUCUCGCGUCGAUGAAGAACGUAGCGAAAUGCGAUACUUGGUGUGAAUUGCAGAAUCCCGUGAACCAUCGAGUCUUUGAACGCAAGUUGCGCCCGAAGCCUCUAGGCUGAGGGCACGUCUGCCUGGGCGUCACGCAUAGCGUCGCCCCCGACCAAGCCACGGCGUCUCUGCAUGCUAGGUUGGGGCGGAGAGUGGCCUCCCGUGCGCCGUCGUGCGGCUGGCCUAAAAUUGGAGCUCGGCGACUGCGCCACGGCGUCCGGUGGUCGGCAAGGCGAAGGCAAAGGUUGCAUCGCGUCGUC
rnacentral:rRNA from 1 species